rnacentral:rRNA from 1 species
UAAGGGUGCAUGGUGGAUGCCUAGGCGUUCAGAGGCGACGAAAGACGUGUGAGCCUGCGAUAAGCUCCGGGGAGUUGGCAACAAAGCUUUGAUCCGGAGAUCUCUGAAUGGGGAAACCUGUUACCGCCCAAUAAGCGGUUUCACUGGCGGGUGAAUGUAUAGUCCGUCAGAGUCAACCCGGGGAACUGAAACAUCUCAGUACCCGGAGGAAAGGACAUCAACCGAGACUCCGCUAGUAGUGGCGAGCGAACGCGGACCAGGCCAGUGGCCAGAGAGUAAGAACCGGAAGCGUCUGGAAAGGCGCGCCUUAGUGGGUGAUAGCCCCGUACGGGUAGAAAGCUCUUUGGUCCUCGAGUAGGGCGGGACACGUGAAAUCCUGCCUGAACGUGGGGGGACCACCCUCCAAGCCUAAGUACUCCUGUGCGACCGAUAGUGAACCAGUACCGUGAGGGAAAGGUGAAAAGCACCCCGACGAGGGGAGUGAAACAGUUCCUGAAACUGGAUGCCUACAAACAGUUGGAGCCCAAGGUUCGUCCUGGGUGACAGCGUACCUUUUGUAUAAUGGGUCAGCGAGUUAAUUUUGCGAGCAAGCUUAAGCCGUUAGGUGUAGGCGUAGCGAAAGCGAGUCUUAAUAGGGCGACUAAGUUUGUUGGAUUAGACCCGAAACCGAGUGAUCUAGGUAUGAGCAGGUUGAAGGUGCAGUAACAUGCACUGGAGGACCGAACCCACGCCUGUUGAAAAAGGCGGGGAUGACUUGUGCCUAGGGGUGAAAGGCCAAUCAAACUCGGAAAUAGCUGGUUCUCCGCGAAAUCUAUUUAGGUAGAGCGUUAGAUGAAUACCAUCGGGGGUAGAGCACUGGAUGGGCUAGGGGGUCUCACCGACUUACCAAACCUAACCAAACUCCGAAUACCGAUGAGUAAUAUCUGGCAGACACACUACGGGUGCUAAGGUCCGUAGUGGAAAGGGAAACAGCCCUGACCGCCAGCUAAGGUCCCUAAGUUAUGGCUAAGUGGGAAAGGAUGUGAGAGUGCAUAGACAACCAGGAUGUUGGCUUAGAAGCAGCCAUCAUUUAAAG